CUGCCCUGUACCGGGGGAUAACACUUAGAAAUAGGUGCUAAUACCGCAUAAGCGCACGGGACCGCAUGGUCCAGUGUGAAAAACUCCGGUGGUACAGGAUGGUCCCGCGUCUGAUUAGCCAGUUGGCGGGGUAACGGCCCACCAAAGCGACGAUCAGUAGCCGGCCUGAGAGGGUGGACGGCCACAUUGGGACUGAGACACGGCCCAAACUCCUACGGGAGGCAGCAGUGGGGAAUAUUGCACAAUGGGGGAAACCCUGAUGCAGCGACGCCGCGUGAGUGAAGAAGUAUUUCGGUAUGUAAAGCUCUAUCAGCAGGGAAGAAGAUGACGGUACCUGAGUAAGAAGCCCCGGCUAACUACGUGCCAGCAGCCGCGGUAAUACGUAGGGGGCAAGCGUUAUCCGGAUUUACUGGGUGUAAAGGGAGCGUAGACGGUGAAGCAAGUCUGGAGUGAAAACCCGGGGCUUAACCCCGGGAUUGCUUUGGAAACUGUUUAACUGGAGUGCAGGAGAGGUAAGCGGAAUUCCUAGUGUAGCGGUGAAAUGCGUAGAUAUUAGGAGGAACACCAGUGGCGAAGGCGGCUUACUGGACUGUAACUGACGUUGAGGCUCGAAAGCGUGGGGAGCAAACAGGAUUAGAUACCCUGGUAGUCCACGCGGUAAACGAUGAUUACUAGGUGUAGGUGGGUAUGGACCCAUCGGUGCCGCAGCUAACGCAGUAA
rnacentral:rRNA from 1 species